AAUUCAGAAUCUGAACCAGCCCCCAGGACACUGAUCUUGAGGACAUCGUGGGACUGGGAGAGGAAGGGGGAGAUGUUGAGUAAACUGGCAAAGGUGGAAGAAAAAGGGAAGAAGGAUCACAGAGGGCUGCCCGAGUCCAGAGCUCAGAGGUCUGAAAAGAAGCAAAAGGACUGUAAACAAACCAGGUCAUUGAAUCACAAGCCCAGAGCCUGCUGACUGUUACUGCAAGCGGACGGUCCGCCCUCAGGACUGCAGGGGUGAAUUAUGGCCACCAAGUGCUCAGAGGCCUGGCUAUAAAUCCUCCCCUGCAUCCUUGUUAACCGUGUCCUUCCCUGGAGGCAGGUACAAGAAGAAGCAAAGCAAAGAAAGACCAGAGGCUGUCAUCUAACAGGCUACUCCAAACGGAGCAUCUUCCACAUGAGAUUAGAGAAGAAGAUUAUCCCCCUCAACACCUGUGUUUAUCUGUAUCCUUCAUGGUGUUCUACACAGCGACCCAAGGGCACCCUCCCUGACCUACUGUGAGACUCACUAUGCUGUUGAGUGUGAAAGAGUCUGGAAAGUAAGACCCCAAAAGAACUUCACAGAAGAAGCUGAUUCCUGUCCUGCCUCACCCCCGUAGCAGCACCCAAGACACCCUCACAGACCCUCACAUCCCCCUGGGAGACAUGGUGAAAACUGCUGAUCUCUGAGUGGUCUGAUCUGGGCAGAGAUGAGGGUUAGGGGCAGGGG
ensembl:lncRNA